UGCGUAGGUGGCAAGCGUUAUCCGGAAUUAUUGGGCGUAAAGCGCGCGCAGGUGGUUUCUUAAGUCUGAUGUGAAAGCCCACGGCUCAACCGUGGAGGGUCAUUGGAAACUGGGAGACUUGAGUGCAGAAGAGGAAAGUGGAAUUCCAUGUGUAGCGGUGAAAUGCGUAGAGAUAUGGAGGAACACCAGUGGCGAAGGCGACUUCUGGUCUGUAACUGACACUGAGGCGCGAAAGCGUGGGGAGCAAACAGG
rnacentral:rRNA from 1 species